CCUACGGGGGGCAGCAGUGGGGAAUAUUGGGCAAUGGAGGCAACUCUUACCCAGCAAUGCCGCGGGAAUGAAGAAGGUCUUCGGAGUGUAAAGUUCUGUAAGUGGGGACGAAAAAAAGGACGGUACCCAAGGAAUAAGCACCGGCUAACUACGGGCCAGCAGCCGCGGUAAUACGUGGGGGGCAAGCGUAGUGCGGAAUGACUGGGCGUAACGGGUGUGUAGGCGGUGUAGCAAGUUAGAAGGGAAAUACCUAGAGCUUAACUCCGGUACUGCUUCUAAAACUGCUAUACUUGAGUGCAGUAGAGGCAAGUGGAAUUCCUCUUGUAGCGGUGCAAUGCGUAGAUCUUAGGAGGAACCUCAGUGGCGAAGGCGACUUUCUGGACUGUACCUGCCGCUGAGGCACGCAAGUGUGUGGAGCAAACAGGAUUAGAUACCCCAGUAGUC
rnacentral:rRNA from 1 species